CGACAGGCUUAACACAUGCAAGUCGAGGGGCAGCACAGGUAGCAAUACCGGGUGGCGACCGGCGCACGGGUGAGUAACGCGUAUGCAACUUGCCUAUCAGAGGGGGAUAACCCGGCGAAAGUCGGACUAAUACCGCAUGAAGCAGGGGCCCCGCAUGGGGAUAUUUGCUAAAGAUUCAUCGCUGAUAGAUAGGCAUGCGUUCCAUUAGGCAGUUGGCGGGGUAACGGCCCACCAAACCGACGAUGGAUAGGGGUUCUGAGAGGAAGGUCCCCCACAUUGGUACUGAGACACGGACCAAACUCCUACGGGAGGCAGCAGUGAGGAAUAUUGGUCAAUGGGCGUAAGCCUGAACCAGCCAAGUCGCGUGAGGGAUGAAGGUUCUAUGGAUCGUAAACCUCUUUUAUAAGGGAAUAAAGUGCGGGACGUGUCCCGUUUUGUAUGUACCUUAUGAAUAAGGAUCGGCUAACUCCGUGCCAGCAGCCGCGGUAAUACGGAGGAUCCGAGCGUUAUCCGGAUUUAUUGGGUUUAAAGGGUGCGUAGGCGGCCUUUUAAGUCAGCGGUGAAAGUCUGUGGCUCAACCAUAGAAUUGCCGUUGAAACUGGGAGGCUUGAGUAUGUUUGAGGCAGGCGGAAUGCGUGGUGUAGCGGUGAAAUGCUUAGAUAUCACGCAGAACCCCGAUUGCGAAGGCAGCCUGCCAAGCCAUUACUGACGCUGAUGCACGAAAGCGUGGGGAUCAAACAGGAUUAGAUACCCUGGUAGUCCACGCAGUAAACGAUGAUCACUAGCUGUUUGCGAUACACUGUAAGCGGCACAGCGAAAGCGUUAAGUGAUCCACCUGGGGAGUACGCCGGCAACGGUGAAACUCAAAGGAAUUGACGGGGGCCCGCACAAGCGGAGGAACAUGUGGUUUAAUUCGAUGAUACGCGAGGAACCUUACCCGGGUUUGAACGCAUUUUGACAGCUCUGGAAACAGAGCCUCUAGCAAUAGCGAUUUGCGAGGUGCUGCAUGGUUGUCGUCAGCUCGUGCCGUGAGGUGUCGGCUUAAGUGCCAUAACGAGCGCAACCCUUGCCACUAGUUACUAACAGGUAAAGCUGAGGACUCUGGUGGGACUGCCAGCGUAAGCUGCGAGGAAGGCGGGGAUGACGUCAAAUCAGCACGGCCCUUACAUCCGGGGCGACACACGUGUUACAAUGGCGUGGACAAAGGGAGGCCACCUGGCGACAGGGAGCGAAUCCCCAAACCACGUCUCAGUUCGGAUCGGAGUCUGCAACCCGACUCCGUGAAGCUGGAUUCGCUAGUAAUCGCGCAUCAGCCAUGGCGCGGUGAAUACGUUCCCGGGCCUUGUACACACCGCCCGUCAAGCCAUGGGAGCCGGGGGUACCUGAAGUCCGUAACCGAAAGGAUCGGCCUAGGGUAAAACUGGUGACUG
rnacentral:rRNA from 1 species